rnacentral:rRNA from 1 species
CCGCGGUAAUACGAAGGGUGCAAGCGUUACUCGGAAUUACUGGGCGUAAAGCGUGCGUAGGUGGUUCGUUAAGUCUGAUGUGAAAUACCUGGGCUCAACCCGGGAACUGCAGUUGAAACCGCUUGUCUUGAAUACCUGAGAGGGUGGGGGAAUACCUGGUGGAGAAGUGAAAUUCGUAGAGAUCAGGUGGAACACCGGAGGCGAAGGCGCCUGCCUGGCAGUGUAUUGACGCUGAGGUGCGAAAGUGCGGGGAGCAAACAGG